GUUAGGAAUCUUCCACAAUGGGGGCAACCCUGAUAGAGCAACACCGCGUGCUGGAUGAAGGCCUUCGGGUCGUAAACAGCUUUUGUAUACGAAGAAUAUGACGGUAAUAUACGAAUAAGGGUCGGCUAACUACGUGCCAGCAGCCGCGGUCAUACGUAGGACCCAAGCGUUAUCCGGAGUGACUGGGCGUAAAGAGUUGCGUAGGCGGCUUAUUAAGCGAGUAGUGAAAUCUGGUGGCUCAACCAUCAACACAUUGCUCGAACUGAUAGGCUUGAGAAUGGUAGAGGUAGUUGGAAUUUCUUGUGUAGGAGUGAAAUCCGUAGAUAUAAGAAGGAACACCAAUGGCGUAGGCAGACUACUGGACCAUUUCUGACGCUGAGGCACGAAAGCGUGGGGAGCGAACCGGAUUAGAAACCCUGGUAGUCC
rnacentral:rRNA from 1 species